rnacentral:rRNA from 1 species
GAUGAACGCUGGCGGCGUGCCUAAUACAUGCAAGUCGAGCGAACAGAUAAGGAGCUUGCUCCUUUGACGUUAUCGGCGGACGGGUGAGUAACACGUGGUUAACCUACCUCUACGACUGGGAUAACUUCGGGAAACCGUAGCUAAUACCGGAUAACAUUUGGAACCUCAUUGUUCUAACGUUAAAGUUGGUUUUUCUUUCACUCAUAGAUUGCCCCGCCCCGUAUUAGCUAGUAGGGGAGGUAACGGCUUACCAAGGCGACGAUACGUAGCCGACCUGAGAGGGAGGUCGGCGACACGGGAACUGAGGCACGGACGAGACACCUGCGGGAGGAAGCAGUAGAGAAUCGUACGCAAUGGGCGAGAGGCGAACAGAGGAACACCGCGGGAGUGAUGAAGGAUUAAGGCUCGUAAAACUCUGUAAUUAGGAGAGAACAAAAGUGUAAGUAACUGUGCAGAUAUUGACAGUACCUAAUCAGAAAGCCACGGCUAACUACGUG